AUCUCAACGCAUCACGCAGAAGAGUAUGGAGCGCACUCCUAACGCGAAGGUCGCAGGUUGGACUCCUGCCCGGGCCACCA
rnacentral:tRNA from 1 species